GACGUAGGGCGCGAGCGUUGUCCGGAUUUAUUGGGCGUAAAGAGCUCGUAGGCGGCUUGUUGCGUCAGCUGUGAAAACCCGCAGCUCAACUGUGGGCUUGCGGUCGAUACGGGCAUCACUGGAGUUCGGCAGGGGAGACUGGAAUUCCUGGUGUAGCGGUGAAAUGCGCAGAUAUCAGGAGGAACACCGGUGGCGAAGGCGGAUCUCUGGGCCUUACCUGACGCUCAGGCGCGAAAGCUAGGGGAGCGAACAGG
rnacentral:rRNA from 1 species